GCAAACUUGGUCAUUUAGAGGAAGUAAAAGUCGUAACAAGGUUUCCGUAGGUGAACCUGCGGAAGGAUCAUUACCGAGUGCGGGACCCCCAAGGUCCCAACCUCCCACCCGUGUCGUAACCGUACCUUUGUUGCUUUGGCGGGCCCACCUCGGGUCCUCCCCAGGUCGCCCGGGGGCACACCGCUCCCGGGCCCGCGCCCGCCGAAGACGCUCUUGAACUCUGGUUGAUUUAGGGAGUCUGAGUCCUUGAUAAUUAUUAAAACUUUCAACAACGGAUCUCUUGGUUCCGGCAUCGAUGAAGAACGCAGC
rnacentral:misc_RNA from 1 species